rnacentral:rRNA from 1 species
UGCAAGUCGAACGCCCCGCAAGGGGAGUGGCGAACGGGUGAGUAACGCGUGGGAACCUACCCAGCAGUUGGGGAUAACCGCGGGAAACUGCGGCUAAUACCGAAUACGUCCUAAGGGAGAAAGAUUUAUCGCUGUUGGAGGGGCCCGCGUCGGAUUAGCUAGUUGGUGAGGUAACGGCUCACCAAGGCGACGAUCCGUAGCUGGUCUGAGAGGAUGAUCAGCCACACUGGGACUUAGACACGGCCCAGACUCCUACGGGAGGCAGCAGUGGGGAAUAUUGGACAAUGGGGGCAACCCUGAUCCAGCAAUGCCGCGUGAGUGAUGAAGGCCUUAGGGUUGUAAAGCUCUUUUACCGGGGACGAUGAUGACGGUACCCGGAGAAUAAGCCCCGGCUAACUUCGUGCCAGCAGCCGCGGUAAUACGAAGGGGGCGAGCGUUGUUCGGAGUUACUGGGCGUAAAGGGCGCGUAGGCGGCGUCCCAAGUUAGGCGUGAAAGCCCCGGGCUCAACCUGGGAAUUGCGCUUAAGACUGGGAUGCUCGAGUGCGGAAGAGGUGAGUGGAAUUCCCAGUGUAGAGGUGAAAUUCGUAGAUAUUGGGAAGAACACCAGUGGCGAAGGCGGCUCACUGGUCCGCAACUGACGCUGAGGCGCGAAAGCGUGGGGAGCAAACAGGAUUAGAUACCCUGGUAGUCCACGCCGUAAACGAUGAGUGCUAGACGUUGGGA